rnacentral:rRNA from 1 species
AUGAGUAAUGACUCCUUCCUAAUCUGUUCUUGGAAUGUACGAGGACUUGGUGAUAACGAUAAGUGCACUGAUGUGCUUUCCAAACUAAUCGCAACCAAACCGCACAUCACACUCCUACAAGAAUCAAAACUCGACUCUCUACCUGACAGCAAAAUAAAAUCCUUCCUCCCACGCCAGACCGACCACGUUUUCUCCUUGCCAGCGGUCGGAACCGUGGGUGGCACCAUCUCGGCCAUCAACUCUGCCUCCUUCCAAGUCGUGGCCUUCUCCCACUUAACCUUUUCAUCCACACUAAUCCUCCAAUCAACCGCCCGUGCGCACCACAUUGCCAUUACUAACAUAUACGCUCCCUCUUUGCUCUCUCUCAAGCUAGCGUUCCUAGAAGAACUCACCUCCAUCGCACAACCAGAUGACACCCCAUGGCUCAUCGCUGGCGACUUCAACCUCAUCCGUUUCCCCUCCGAGAAAAAUAACCCCGCCUUCCACUCCGCCGAAGCCAACGCGUUCAAUCAAACUCUAGAUAACCUAGCUCUCAUCGAAUUGCCACUACUCGAUCGUAGGUUUACUUGGUCCAACAACCGUGCCUCCCCCACCCUAGAACGACUAGAUCGCGUUUUCUUUAACCUUGCAUGGGCAGAUACGUUCCCCAACACUUCCCUCUCCUCUCGAUCCCGCUUUACGUCUGAUCACGUCCCACUCCUCAUCCACGUCACCACCUCCAUCCCUAAAUCCAACUUCUUCAAAUUCGAAGCGGCUUGGGCCAACUCCCGCCCAUGCAAGAACAUUGUUGCUCAAAUCUGGUCACCACAGCCCACAUCGCCAAACAAUGCUACUGCCUCCCUUGUCUCUACUCUAAAAAACUCGUGCCCGUCUUAA